rnacentral:rRNA from 1 species
AACGAACGCUGGCGGCAUGCCUAACACAUGCAAGUCGAACGAGACCUUCGGGUCUAGUGGCGCACGGGUGCGUCACGCGUGGGAACCUGCCCUUAGGUUCGGAAUACCUCCCCGAAAGGGGUGCUAAUACCGGAUAAUGUCUUCGGACCAAAGAUUUAUCGCCUUUGGAUGGGCCCGCGUUGGAUUCGCUAGUUGGUAGGGUAAAAGCCUACCAAGGCGACGAUCCAUAGCUGGUCUGAGAGGAUGAUCAGCCACACUGGGACUGAGACACGGCCCAGACUCCUACGGGAGGGAGCAGUGGGGAAUAUUGGACAAUGGGCGAAAGCCUGAUCCAGCAAUGCCGGGUGAGUGAUGAAGGCCUUAGGGUUGUAAAGCUCUUUUACCCGGGAUGAUAAUGACGGUACCGGGAGAAUAAGCUCCGGCUAACUACGUG